rnacentral:rRNA from 1 species
GACGAACGCUGGCGGCGUGCUUAACACAUGCAAGUCGAACGGAAAGGCCCUGCUUUUGUGGGGUGCUCGAGUGGCGAACGGGUGAGAAACACGUGAGUAACCUGCCCUUGACUUUGGGAUAACUUCAGGAAACUGGGGCUAAUACCGGAUAGGAGCUCCUGCUGCAUGGUGGGGGUUGGAAAGUUUCGGCGGUUGGGGAUGGACUCGCGGCUUAUCAGCUUGUUGGUGGGGUAGUGGCUUACCAAGGCUUUGACGGGUAGCCGGCCUGAGAGGGUGACCGGCCACAUUGGGACUGAGAUACGGCCCAGACUCCUACGGGAGGCAGCAGUGGGGAAUAUUGCACAAUGGGCGGAAGUCUGAUGCAGCAACGCCGCGUGCGGGAUGACGGCCUUCGGGUUGUAAACCGCUUUCGCCUGUGACGUGGCGUGAGUGACGGUAAUGAGUAAGGAAGCACCGGCUAACUACGUG